rnacentral:rRNA from 1 species
UACGGGGGGGGCAAGCGUUGUUCGGAAUUACUGGGCGUAAAGGGCUCGUAGGCGGCCAACUAAGUCAGACGUGAAAUCCCCAGGCUCAACCUGGGAACUGCGUCUGAUACUGGUUGGCUUGAAUCCGGGAGAGGGAUGCGGAAUUCCAGGUGUAGCGGUGAAAUGCGUAGAUAUCGUCAAGAACACCUAUUGCGUAGGCAGCUAACUAAGCUUUAACUGACGCUGAGGCACGAAAGUGUGGGGAUCAAACAGG